rnacentral:rRNA from 1 species
GGUAGUCCACGCCGUAAACGAUGUCGACUUGGAGGUUGUGCCCUUGAGGCGUGGCUUCCGGAGCUAACGCGUUAAGUCGACCGCCUGGGGAGUACGGCCGCAAGGUUAAAACUCAAAUGAAUUGACGGGGGCCCGCACAAGCGGUGGAGCAUGUGGUUUAAUUCGAUGCAACGCGAAGAACCUUACCUGGUCUUGACAUCCACAGAACUUUCCAGAGAUGGAUUGGUGCCUUCGGGAACUGUGAGACAGGUGCUGCAUGGCUGUCGUCAGCUCGUGUUGUGAAAUGUUGGGUUAAGUCCCGCAACGAGCGCAACCCUUAUCCUUUGUUGCCAGCGGUCCGGCCGGGAACUCAAAGGAGACUGCCAGUGAUAAACUGGAGGAAGGUGGGGAUGACGUCAAGUCAUCAUGGCCCUUACGACCAGGGCUACACACGUGCUACAAUGGCGCAUACAAAGAGAAGCGACCUCGCGAGAGCAAGCGGACCUCAUAAAGUGCGUCGUAGUCCGGAUUGGAGUCUGCAACUCGACUCCAUGAAGUCGGAAUCGCUAGUAAUCGUGGAUCAGAAUGCCACGGUGAAUACGUUCCCGGGCCUUGUACACACCGCCCGUCACACCAUGGGAGUGGGUUGCAAAAGAAGUAGGUAGCUUAACCUUCGGGAGGGCGCUUACCACUUUGUGAUUCAUGACUGGGGUGAAGUCGUAACAAGGUAACC